UACGUAGGCAGCGAGCGUUGUUCGGAGUUACUGGGCGUAAAGGGUGUGUAGGCGGUUGUUUAAGUUUGGUGUGAAAUCUCCCGGCUCAACUGGGAGGGUGCGCCGAAUACUGAAUGACUUCGAGUGCGGGAGAGGAAAGUGGAAUUCCUGGUGUAGCGGUGAAAUGCGUAGAUAUCUGGAGGAACACCGGUGGCGAAGGCGGCAUCCUGGACCGGUAUUGACGCUGAGGAGCGAAAGCCAGGGGAGCAAACGGG
rnacentral:rRNA from 1 species